GAUUCUGUGGCUUAGUUGGUUAAAGCGCCGGUCUAGCGAAUACUGAGUCGUGGGUCCGAAUCCCACCAGAUUGU
rnacentral:tRNA from 1 species